AUUGAACGCUGGCGGCAGGCCUAACACAUGCAAGUCGAGCGGAUGAAGGGAGCUUGCUCCUGGAUUCAGCGGCGGACGGGUGAGUAAUGCCUAGGAAUCUGCCUGGUAUUGGGGGAUAACGUCCGGAAACGGGCGCUAAUACCGCAUACGUCCUGAGGGAGAAAGGGGGGGAUCUUCGGACCUCACGCUAUCAGAUGAGCCUAGGUCGGAUUAGCUAGUUGGUGGGGUAAAGGCCUACCAAGGCGACGAUCCGUAACUGGUCUGAGAGGAUGAUCAGUCACACUGGAACUGAGACACGGUCCAGACUCCUACGGGAGGCAGCAGUGGGGAAUAUUGGACAAUGGGCGAAAGCCUGAUCCAGCCAUGCCGCGUGUGUGAAGAAGGUCUUCGGAUUGUAAAGCACUUUAAGUUGGGAGGAAGAGCAGUAUGUUAAUACCUUGCUGUUUUGACGUUACCAACAGAAUAAGCACCGGCUAACUUCGUG
rnacentral:rRNA from 1 species